CUGGGUUGGAAGAUUGGUGAUCUGCAUCACCUGAGUGAGUUUUCCCAAGGGCACCUGGGAAGGUGAAGCAAUUGAGCCCACCUGAUCUGUGCGUGCCCAGAAGGCACGAGUUCUUUGUCUGAAGUGGCUGCCUUGGUGAAUACUGUGGGGUGAGAUCUGUGCGUGCCCAGAAGGCAGGAGUUCUCUGUCUGAAGUGGCUGCUUUGAAGCAGCAUCUGCUUACUGUACAUCUGUUGCAAAACAAAAGAUGACAGAGAGGUUUAUCUAUCACUUUGAUUUAUAGAUAAAGACUUAAAGGAGAAGGUGGCAAACCAGACCGAGCCUGCAGAGCAAGCUGGCAGCUGAGCUGCACUGGAUGGAAGAGUGGCUGUGAAGAGCCGAGGUGACCUGUGUGUGUCGCGGUGCUGGCAGCAGCGGCGUGGAGCUGCGUGGAGAAGCUGCUGCAAUGAGGAAGUUGGCUGCCCUGGAUGUUCAGUAGGAGCAUGGAAGCCAGCGGAUGGCCACCCUCACUACAGAUAUCCUGGAAAGCAAGUGCCACACCAGCGGAUGAGGAAGGCUGUUUGCGUGCCCAGCUCCAGAGAUACAGGUGCAAAGCAAGGUGGCCUGUGAAUCCUCAAAGUAAGGAGCAGGCACUUGAAAUCCUGAAUGAUAAAGAAGAGGUGUAAAUGGUAGCUUGUAGCAGUGUUAAAAAGCUUCACCUACACAGAAACCAGGGCAAUAUUUACUGUGAGUAGUAAAUAUCUGUAAUGGUUAUGUGGAGCUUUUCAAAUGGUAUUUCAUGGCUACUUUGCCUUUGAGUUAUUCUUUUAAAAGUUCAGCUCCUGAUGAAAACAAGUUGUAUAGCUUAUGGUAUUACUCCAGCAAAAUGAUUUCCAUAAAUAAAGCAAGAGGCAA